rnacentral:rRNA from 1 species
AUUGAACGCUGGCGGAAUGCUUUACACAUGCAAGUCGAACGGUAGAGGGCGCAACCCCUAGAGAGUGGCGAACGGGUGGGUAAUACAUCGGGACAUGCGCAGUCGUGGGGGCUAACGUAGGGAAAGCUACGCGCAUACCGCAUACUAUCUAUGGAUGAAAUCGGGGGGCCGAAAGGCCGCGCGCGAAUGGAGUGGCCGAUGGCAGAUUAGGUAGUUGGUGGGGUAAAGGCCUACCAAGGCUGCGAUCUGUAGCUGGUCUGGGAGGACGACCAGCCACACUGGGACUGGGACACGGCCCCGGCUCCUACGGGGGGCAGCAGUGGGGAAUUUUGGACAAUGGGCGCAAGCCUGAUCCAGCCAUUCCGCGUGCAGGAUGAAGGCCCUCGGGUUGUAAACUGCUUUUGUACGGAACGAAAAGGUGGCCUCUAAUACAGGUUGCUGAUGACGGUACCGUAAGAAUAAGCACCGGCUAACUACGUGCCAGCCGCCGCCGUAA